rnacentral:rRNA from 1 species
UACGUAGGGUGCGAGCGUUAAUCGGAAUUACUGGGCGUAAAGGGUUCGUAGGUGGCCAACUAAGUCAGAUGUGAAAUCCCUCAGCUUAACUGGGGAACUGCUUCUGAUACUGGUUGGCUUGAGUGCAGGAGAGGAAUGCGGAAUUCCAGGUGUAGCGGUGAAAUGCGUAGAUAUCUGGAGGAACACCGGUGGCGAAGGCGGCAUUCUGGACUGUAACUGACACUGAGGAACGAAAGCCAGGGGAGCAAACGGG